GGCACCGUGGUGUAACGGUAGCAUACUCGACUUGUAUUCGAGAGGUCCAGGUUCGAGUCCCGGUGAGGGCA
rnacentral:tRNA from 1 species